rnacentral:rRNA from 1 species
GUCGAACGAAACUUCUUUAUCACCGAGUGCUUGCACUCACCGAUAAACAGUUGAGUGGCGAACGGGUGAGUAACACGUGGGCAACCUGCCCAAAAGAGGGGGAUAACACUUGGAAACAGGUGCUAAUACCGCAUAACCAUAGUUACCGCAUGGUAACUAUGUAAAAGGUGGCUAUGCUACCGCUUUUGGAUGGGCCCGCGGCGCAUUAGCUAGUUGGUGGGGUAAAGGCUUACCAAGGCAAUGAUGCGUAGCCGAACUGAGAGGUUGAUCGGCCACAUUGGGACUGAGACACGGCCCAAACUCCUACGGGAGGCAGCAGUAGGGAAUCUUCCACAAUGGGCGAAAGCCUGAUGGAGCAACGCCGCGUGGGUGAAGAAGGUCUUCGGAUCGUAAAACCCUGUUGUUAGAGAAGAAAGUGCGUGAGAGUAACUGUUCACGUUUCGACGGUAUCUAACCAGAAAGCCACGGCUAACUACGUGCCAGCAGCCGCGGUAAUACGUAGGUGGCAAGCGUUAUCCGGAUUUAUUGGGCGUAAAGGGAACGCAGGCGGUCUUUUAAGUCUGAUGUGAAAGCCUUCGGCUUAACCGGAGUAGUGCAUUGGAAACUGGGAGACUUGAGUGCAGAAGAGGAGAGUGGAACUCCAUGUGUAGCGGUGAAAUGCGUAGAUAUAUGGAAGAACACCAGUGGCGAAAGCGGCUCUCUGGUCUGUAACUGACGCUGAGGUUCGAAAGCGUGGGUAGCAAACAGGAUUAGAUACCCUGGUAG